CUUAACAAGUUGCCUCAUGUCAUUCUGAUCAUUUUUAAGGCUUAAAAGCUACUGCUAUGUGUUGGGAUGGGUGAUCAAGUUUGGCUGGAACUUGCCAUGUCUUUAAGCUGAGGAACAAGUGGAUCAGAGAGCAGCUGACCUCACAGAGCCAUGGUUCAGUGACUCAUUCAGACAUGUCCUUGAGCAGUUGUUCUGGAUUUCCUCGAUGGUAGCAAGGUGAACUCAUGAGGUACUGGUCCAGAAAAGAACACUAGUGACUAUGCCCAUUGUCACUGCUCAGAAGUGUUCUGGAAUCUUGUUUCCCGCCCCGAAAUAAGUUGAUGGUAGUUAUGGCAUGGGCUGAUCUACCCAGUCAGCAAGGCCAGAUUGCAGAGAAACUCAGAGUCUAGGAAAAUGAAUGUCUAGUAACAUUCCUCAAAUAGUCCUACCAGAAGACACAAAGAUGAUGCAUCCGGAUGAAGAAUAUAUCACUGAGAUUAAUGGCCCUGGGUUGCAGCCAAAAGCGUCUCAGAGGUAGAACACUGUUGCAGAUGGUGAUGUUACCAUUUGAAAGUAAGAAGAAAACUAGUAUCUCUUGGGUCACCAAGAGUAAAAAUAGAGAACAUGCUUACAAACUGCAACACAUAGAGUUUCUUGAAAUCACAGUUUGGGAGUGGAGGAAAAGGCUGCUUAAGUGUUUGGAAAGGGAGACUAAGGAUGAAAUAGAGUGGGGUAAGCCUGAAUUAAUCUGUAGUGAGAGCAGAACAUAGAAUAUAUGUAUUAAUAAUAUGUAUAAAUU
rnacentral:lncRNA from 1 species